rnacentral:rRNA from 1 species
UACGUAGGGUGCGAGCGUUGUCCGGAAUUAUUGGGCGUAAAGAGCUUGUAGGCGGUUUGUCGCGUCUGCCGUGAAAAUUCGAGGCUCAACCUCGAACUUGCGGUGGGUACGGGCAGACUAGAGUGUGGUAGGGGAGACUGGAAUUCCUGGUGUAGCGGUGAAAUGCGCAGAUAUCAGGAAGAACACCAAUGGCGAAAGCAGCUUUCUGGGACGGUACUGACGCUGAGACGCGAAAGCGUGGGGAGCGAACAGG